AUUUAUUUUCAAAAAUAAAAAAAAUCUGUCAUAUAUAAUAUAGGCCAAUUUGCAUAAAAAAUCCACUUAUUUUUUACUUUUGUAAAAUCGGGCCAUCUUUUUGGCUUUUGCAGAUUCGGUCCGCUUUUUCAGCAAACUGACCAAAAUACCCUUAUACCUUUUUCUCUUUCCUCUUUCUCUCUCCUCUUUUUUUCUCUCGUUCUUUUUUCUUUUUCUUUCCAGAGAGCGGCGAAGACGGAGCGGAGGUGCCCUUAUACCUUUUUCUUUUCUCUUUUUUCUCUCGUUCUUUUUUUUCUUUCUCUUCCCAGAGAGCGGCGUCGCCGCCGGCGCCCCCACCUUCCU
rnacentral:lncRNA from 1 species